AACGAACGCUGGCGGCAUGCCUAACACAUGCAAGUCGAACGAGAACUUCGGGUCCAGUGGCGUAUGGGUGCGUAACGCGAGGGAACCUGCACUCAGGUUCGGACUAACUCUCCGACUGGGGUGCCAAUACCGGAUAAUGUCUUCGGCCCAAAGAUUUAUCGCCCUUGGAUGGGCCGGCGUUGGAUUAGCUAGUUGGUUGGGUAAAAGCGUACUAAGGCGACGAUCCAUAGCUGGUUAGAGUGGAUGAUUAGCCACACUGGGAGUGAGACACGGCCCGGACACCUACGGGAGGGAGCAGUGGGGAAUAUGGGACAGUGGGCGAAAGCCUGAUCGAUCAACGCCGCGUGAAUGAUGAAGGCCUUAGGGUUGUAAAGCUGUAUGACCCGGGAUGAGAAUGACAGGACCGGGAGAAUAAGCUCCGGCUAACUCCGGG
rnacentral:rRNA from 1 species